CAGGAGGGGGGCUGGCAGAGAGCUGUUACUUACCUUCACAGCAGCUCCUGUCAGCUCCCUUCUCUCUCCUCGGUCAGCUCCCUUCUCCUCCAGGGUAAGUCUCGCGGCCGUGCAGAGUGUUGCCGCGGUAACCCGUGGCAACGCUAUGACCCCGCGGCUCUCGCGAGACUUACACUGAAGGAGAAGGGAGCUGACCGAGGAGAGAGAGAAGGGAGCUGACAUGAGCUGCUGUGAAGGUAACAGCUCUCUGCCAGCCCCCAACAGGA